rnacentral:lncRNA from 1 species
GUGUCAUAAAAAAAAAAACAUGACAAGUGGCUAAAAACAUAUGAUAAUGAAAGCAGACAUGUGUAUAACUAAUAAUGCAUUGCACUGUGAGGACCAGUUACUCAACUUGGAUAUUAAGAAAAGUCACAGACAAGGAUCCUCCUCUAUGAGGUCUUACAGAUAGAUAUAAAACUCCAAUUAUGUUCAAAGUUUCACAUAGGCUGUUCAAGAUUGAAGGCUGUCAAACAUUUACAACCAUAGUUGUCAUCUCUUGAAAGUCUGCUCAUUUUUGAAGAUGAAACAGAAGGUAAAUGGGUCCAGAACAGAUGAGAAAUGUCAGAGAGCUGGGAGGAAUGGAGCUGGAGUUUUGGGGGAGGCAUGGAGUGAGAGUCCUGGGUAUCUUCCGAUGGUGAGGCAGCUUGGAGAAAACCAAAGUCUGCAGGAAGUUUCUGGGACCCUGAGCAAUCACAGCACCAAAGGCAGUGCUUGGAAGAUUUUAAUCUGAGAAAAAUGGUUUUAAUACAGUACGUGCUAUGGGGAUAUUUGUCUUGGCAGAGACUGAGCUUAAGUCAAAUACUCUGCAUUUACAAUCCAAGUGAUUAAUAAACAGAUGUGGAAUUU